rnacentral:rRNA from 1 species
GAUGAACGCUGGCGGCGUGCCUAAUACAUGCAAGUCGAGCGAACAGACGAGGAGCUUGCUCCUCUGACGUUAGCGGCGGACGGGUGAGUAACACGUGGAUAACCUACCUAUAAGACUGGGAUAACUUCGGGAAACCGGAGCUAAUACCGGAUAAUAUAUUGAACCGCAUGGCUCAAUAGUGAAAGACGGUUUUGCUGUCACUUAUAGAUGGAUCCGCGCCGCAUUAGCUAGUUGGUAAGGUAACGGCUUACCAAGGCAACGAUGCGUAGCCGACCUGAGAGGGUGAUCGGCCACACUGGAACUGAGACACGGUCCAGACUCCUACGGGAGGCAGCAGUAGGGAAUCUUCCGCAAUGGGCGAAAGCCUGACGGAGCAACGCCGCGUGAGUGAUGAAGGUCUUCGGAUCGUAAAACUCUGUUAUUAGGGAAGAACAAAUGUGUAAGUAACGAUGCACGUCUUGACGGUACCUAAGCAGAAAGCCACGGCUAACUACGU